GUCAUUAAGCAGCACCUAUACUAAAACUGGAAUGAUACAGAGAAGAUUAGCAUGGCCCCUGUGCAAGGAUGAUACACAAAUUUGAGAAGCAUUCCAUGGUUUU